rnacentral:rRNA from 1 species
GAUGAACGCUAGCUACAGGCUUAACACAUGCAAGUCGAGGGGAAACGACAUCGAAAGCUUGCUUUUGAUGGGCGUCGACCGGCGCACGGGUGAGUAACGCGUAUCCAACCUGCCCACCACUUGGGGAUAACCUUGCGAAAGUAAGACUAAUACCCAAUGAUAUCUCUAGAAGACAUCUGAAAGAGAUUAAAGAUUUAUCGGUGAUGGAUGGGGAUGCGUCUGAUUAGCUUGUUGGCGGGGUAACGGCCCACCAAGGCAACGAUCAGUAGGGGUUCUGAGAGGAAGGUCCCUCACAUUGGAACUGAGACACGGUCCAAACUCCUACGGGAGGCAGCAGUGAGGAAUAUUGGUCAGUGGACGAGAGUCUGAACCAGCCAAGUAGCGUGCAGGAAGACGGCCCUAUGGGUUGUAAACUGCUUUUAUAAGGGAAUAAAGUGAGUCUCGUGAGACUUUUUGCAUGUACCUUAUGAAUAAGGACCGGCUAAUUCCGUG